rnacentral:rRNA from 1 species
GUGCCAGCAGCCGCGGUAAUACGAAGGGGGCUAGCGUUGUUCGGAAUUACUGGGCGUAAAGCGCGCGUAGGCGGUGAUCCAUGUCAGAGGUGAAAGCCCGGGGCUCAACUCCGGAAUUGCCUUUGAAACGGGAUCGCUAGAGUCCGAGAGAGGAUGGCGGAAUUCCUAGUGUAGAGGUGAAAUUCGUAGAUAUUAGGAAGAACACCGGUGGCGAAGGCGGCCAUCUGGCUCGGUACUGACGCUCAGGCGCGAAAGCGUGGGGAGCAAACAGGAUUAGAUACCCUGGUAGUCCACGCCGUAAACGAUGGGUGCUAGUUGUUAGGAAGUUUACUUCUUAGUGACGUAGCUAACGCGUUAAGCACCCCGCCUGGGGAGUACGGUCGCAAGAUUAAAACUCAAAUGAAUUGACGGGG